UACGUAGGGGGCAAGCGUUGUCCGGAUUUAUUGGGCGUAAAGAGCGUGUAGGCGGCCAUUCAGGUCAGCUGUGAAAACUCGAGGCUCAACCUCGAGACGUUGGUUGAAACCGUAUGGCUAGAGUCCGGAAGAGGAGAGUGGAAUUCCCGGUGUAGAGGUGAAAUUCGUAGAUAUCGGGGAGGAACACCGGUGGCGAAGGCGGCGAUCUGGGUCGAUACUGACGCUGAGGUGCGAAGGCGUGGGGGAGCAAACAGG
rnacentral:rRNA from 1 species